AGCUAAUAGAUACCCGGGUAGUCCACGCCCUAAACGAUGGAUACUCGACAUACGCGAUACACUGUGUGUGUCUGAGCGAAAGCAUUAAGUAUCCCACCUGGGAAGUACGACCGCAAGGUUGAAACUCAAAGGAAUUGGCGGGGGUCCGCACAAGCGGUGGAGUAUGUGGUUUAAUUCGAUGAUACGCGAGGAACCUUACCUGGGCUAGAGUGCUGGUGGACCGAGGGUGAAAGCUCUCUUUGUAGCAAUACACCGCCAGUAAGGUGCUGCAUGGCUGUCGUCAGCUCGUGCCGUGAGGUGUUGGGUUAAGUCCCGCAGCGAGCGCAACCCCCAUCACUAGUUGCCAUCAGGUAACGCUGGGAACUCUAGUGAAACUGCCGUCGUAAGACGCGAGGAAGGAGGGGAUGAUGUCAAGUCAUCAUGGCCUUUAUGCCCAGGGCUACACACGUGCUACAAUGGGGCGUACAAAGGGCUGCCACUUAGCGAUAAGGAGCCAAUCCCAAAAAACGCCUCUCAGUUCAG
rnacentral:rRNA from 1 species